rnacentral:rRNA from 1 species
UGACGGUACCCGCAGAAUAAGCCCCGGCUAACUUCGUGCCAGCAGCCGCGGUAAUACGAAGGGGGCUAGCGUUGUUCGGAAUCACUGGGCGUAAAGCGUACGCAGGCGGAUUGAUAAGUCAGGGGUGAAAUCCCGGGGCUCAACCUCGGAAUUGCCUUUGAUACUGUCUGUCUCGAGUUCGGGAGAGGUUGGCGGAAUUCCUAGUGUAGAGGUGAAAUUCGUAGAUAUUAGGAAGAACACCAGUGGCGAAGGCGGCCAACUGGCCCGAUACUGACGCUCAUGUACGAAAGCGUGGGGAGCAAACAGGAUUAGAUACCCUGGUAGUCCACGCUGUAAACUAUGGAUGCUAGCCGUUGGGGAGCUUGCUCUUCAGUGGCGCAGCUAACGUCUUAAGCAUCCCGCCUGGGGAGUACGGUCGCAAGAUUAAAACUCAAAGGAAUU